UAAUGCAUCGGAUAGAGUCCAAAUUAGCCAGGAAGAGGAAGACUUAGCUCAACUUUCUCGGACAGAUUCUGGUAUUGGUCCCAGUGAAUCAUUUGUAUCAGGUUCUUCAUCAACUAGGUUUGGUGAUUCACCUUCGAUAUCUGCAUCCAGCAGCUCACGAUCACACUCUUGGUCGUCUUCCUGGUCUCCAGAUGGUGGUAACAGCAAUGGCAGCAAUGUUGUCCAAGCAACAGCAUGGGGCAUGGUAAUUGUGACAGCAAGUUUGGGAG
rnacentral:lncRNA from 1 species